AGUGAACGCUGGCGGUAGGCCUAACACAUGCAAGUCGAACGGCAGCACAGUAAGAGCUUGCUCUUACGGGUGGCGAGUGGCGGACGGGUGAGGAAUACAUCGGAAUCUACUUUUUCGUGGGGGAUAACGUAGGGAAACUUACUCUAAUACCGCAUACGACCUACGGGUGAAAGCAGGGGAUCUUCGGACCUUGCGCGAAUGAAUGAGCCGAUGUCGGAUUAGCUAGUUGGCGGGGUAAAGGCCCACCAAGGCGACGAUCCGUAGCUGGUCUGAGAGGAUGAUCGGCCACACUGGAACUGGGACACGGUCCAGACUCCUACGGGAGGCAGCAGUGGGGAAUAUUGGACAGUGGGCGCAAGCCUGAUCCAGCCGUACCGCGUGGGUGAAGAAGGCCUUCGGGUUGUAAAGCCCUUUUGUUGGGAAAGAAAAGCAGCAGGUUAAUACCCCGCUGUUCUGACGGUACCCAAAGAAUAAGCACCGGCUAACUUCGUG
rnacentral:rRNA from 1 species